rnacentral:rRNA from 1 species
AUACAUGCAAGUCGAACGCGUCUUGGUUAAUGAUGUUAGGUGCUUGCAUUUAACUGAUUUAACAUUGAGACGAGUGGCGAACUGGUGAGUAACACGUGGGUAACCUGCCCUGAAGUGGGGGAUAACACUUGGAAACAGGUGCUAAUACCGCAUAACAACGAAAACCACAUGGUUUUCGUUUGAAAGAUGGCUUCGGCUGUCACUUUUGGAUGGACCCGCGGCGUAUUAGCUUGUUGGUGAGGUAACGGCUCACCAAGGCCAUGAUACGUAGCCGACCUGAGAGGGUAAUCGGCCACAUUGGGACUGAGACACGGCCCAAACUCCUACGGGAGGCAGCAGUAGGGAAUCUUCCACAAUGGACGAAAGUCUGAUGGAGCAACGCCGCGUGAGUGAUGAAGGGUUUCGGCUCGUAAAACUCUGUUGUUGGAGAAGAACAGGUGAUAGAGUAACUGUUAUCAUCUUGACGGUAUCCAACCAGAAAGCCACGGCUAACUACGUGCCAGCAGCCGCGGUAAUACGUAGGUGGCAAGCGUUGUCCGGAUUUAUUGGGCGUAAAGCGAGCGCAGGCGGUUUUUUAGGUCUGAUGUGAAAGCCUUCGGCUUAACCGGAGAAGGGCAUCGGAAACCGGGAGACUUGAGUGCAGAAGAGGACAGUGGAACUCCAUGUGUAGCGGUGAAAUGCGUAGAUAUAUGGAAGAACACCAGUGGCGAAGGCGGCUGUCUGGUCUGUAACUGACGCUGAGGCUCGAAAGCAUGGGUAGCGAACACGAUUAGAU